rnacentral:lncRNA from 1 species
CAAAAAUAACCCAGUGGCAUUCCUGCUGAGUGCCUUUGUUUGAUUGAUUCGGACAGCUUGUGAAGUAGCAUACAUUGUGGGGUCUAUUCAAUACACGUCGUGGAAAUUCAGUUUUACAGCUUGAUUGACAUUUUAAAGGCAAUGUUUCCACUUUAGCGGAGACUGCAUUCACGGGAGCUAACAUCAACCAACAGUCAAAUGUCAUGACUACACAAUCACCAUCCUAUUGCCAAGGAGUCAAAUGAAAUCUAAUUGCAUUUGAUUUGUCACAUGUGCCGAAUACAAUUAUUAUAAUAAAAAGAAAAAUACUAACACAAGAGUAUUGAUCAGGUACCAGUACCAGUACCAGUACCAGAUCAAUGUGCAUGGAGGGAUAUGAUGAAUUUGAGGUAGAUAUGUGCAUGAAGGCAGGGUAAAGUGACUAGGCAUCAGGAUAGAUAUUAAUAAGACUAGAAUAAAGAACAGAGUAGCAGCAGCAUAUUAUGAGUGUAAAAGUGUGUGUUUGCGUGUGUUUUGUGUCAUUUUACACGUGUGUGUGUAUGU